rnacentral:rRNA from 1 species
UCAAACUGGGAUUAGAUACCCCACUAUCCCUAGCCCUAAAUCUAGAUACCUCCCAUCACACAUGUAUCCGCCUGAGAACUACGAGCACAAACGCUUAAAACUCUAAGGACUUGGCGGUGCCCCAAACCCACCUAGAGGAGCCUGUUCUAUAAUCGAUAAUCCACGAUUCACCCAACCACCCCUUGCCAGCACAGCCUACAUACCGCCGUCGCCAGCCCACCUCUAAUGAAAGAACAACAGUGAGCUCAAUAGCCCCUCGCUAAUAAGACAGGUCAAGGUAUAGCCUAUGGGGUGGGAGAAAUGGGCUACAUUUUCUAACAUAGAACAAACGAAAAAGGACGUGAAACCCGCCCUUAGAAGGAGGAUUUACGCAGUAAAGUGAGAUCAUACCCCCUAAGCUCACUUUAAGACGGCUCUGAGGCACGUACACACCGCCCGUCACCCUCAA